rnacentral:tRNA from 1 species
GGAAGCGUGACAGAGUGGCCGAAUGUACCGGUCUUGAAAACCGGAGUGCCUGAAAAGGUACCAGGGGUUCGAAUCCUCUCGCUUCCGCCA